rnacentral:lncRNA from 1 species
CCGGAGAGUUUCUGCAAUAUGCUACUGCAGUCCAUAUGCUUAUCAAUUAUGAGGAUUUUUGGCUUUCGGCUCUGGAAAAUAUGAGAAAUAUGGGCAAUUACUCUCUGAAGAAAGGUGUUGAAUAAUUUGAAUGGGAAUUUGAAGGUCCAUGGCUUCCAAACCAGCAGGAGUUAAGGCUUAAUUGCUUGGAAAUACAUUUUCAUGGCUGAUACCAGUAACAGAAAAAUGUCUGUAUGUCAAGAGGCUCUGUACUAAUCAGUUAACCAUAACAUGUGCCACCCCAUACCUUGGGCCAAUGUAACUGUUAACAGCUUGAAGCUAUUAAAAAUGUACCAAUGGAGAACUUUCUUAUACUUUUUUCACUAAUGUGCUUCUUCACUCUAAAUAAAGGAAUAGAUAAAUUUUAUACUUAACUACUGUCAGAGAAAAGGAAAGUACCUUCGCUUAGUUUGAGCUUCAAAACAUUACAUCCAAUGGUGUUCAUUAAGGUAACACUUUGAAAGUCACUCAAUUGCUAAUAUGCUCUCUCUGCGUCAACUCAGAGGCUGCCUAUUAGAUCUAGUUACACUCCAGAGACAGGGAUUUGCUUUCCAGCUCUAGAGAUCAGGUCAAGAAUUGCAAUAACAAUUAGUAAUUAGUAGUUAGAUCUCAAUUUACCACAUUAGAAGGUCACUCCUCUGAAGCAUUUGGUCUCAUGAGAG